GCCGGUAUCGCUUAGUGGUAACAGCAGCUCACUCGUAAUGAGCAGCCCUGGGUUCGAUUCCCAGUUCCGGCAC
rnacentral:tRNA from 1 species